rnacentral:rRNA from 1 species
CAUGCAAGUCGAGCGAUGAAGCUUCCUUCGGGAAGUGGAUUAGCGGCGGACGGGUGAGUAACACGUGGGUAACCUGCCUCAAAGUGGGGGAUAGCCUUCCGAAAGGAAGAUUAAUACCGCAUAAUAUAGGAGAAUCGCAUGAUUUUCUUAUCAAAGAUUUAUUGCUUUGAGAUGGACCCGCGGCGCAUUAGCUAGUUGGUAAGGUAACGGCUUACCAAGGCAACGAUGCGUAGCCGACCUGAGAGGGUGAUCGGCC